GACGAACGCUGGCGGCGUGCCUAACACAUGCAAGUCGAACGGGGUAUUGAGAGCUUGCUCUUAAUACUUAGUGGCGAACGGGUGAGUAACGCGUGAGAAACCUGCCUCUCAGUGGGGGACAACAGUUGGAAACGACUGCUAAUACCGCAUGACGCAUAUGGAUCGCAUGGUCUGUAUGCCAAAGAUUUUAUCGCUGAAAGAUGGCCUCGCGUCUGAUUAGCUGGUUGGUGAGGUAACGGCCCACCAAGGCGACGAUCAGUAGCCGGACUGAGAGGUUGACCGGCCACAUUGGGACUGAGAUACGGCCCAGACUCCUACGGGAGGCAGCAGUGGGGAAUAUUGCGCAAUGGGGGAAACCCUGACGCAGCAAUGCCGCGUGAAGGAUGAAGGUUUCGGAUUGUAAACUUCUUUACUGAGGACGAAGAAAGUGACGGUACUCAGAGAAUAAGCCACGGCUAACUACGUG
rnacentral:rRNA from 1 species